CAAGAAGUAGUUUAGUUAGAAUAUCAGCUUUGGGUGUUGAUGGUGGGGGUUAAUCCUUCCUUCUUGA
rnacentral:tRNA from 1 species